rnacentral:tRNA from 1 species
AAGUCAGAGAGUGAUUUAAUUUAUGACCCCAAUCUUGGGGUCUUGGGGAUGGAAGUUUAAUUUUCCCCCCCCCCUAAUUUUG